UUGGAAGUAAAAGGCGCAACAAGGUCUCCGUUGGUGAACCAGCGGAGGGAUCAUUACUGAGUUACCGCUCAUCAACCCUUUGUGAACAUACCUUAACUGUUGCUUCGGCGGGUAGGCGUCCCCUAAAAAGGACGUCUCCCGGCCCUCUCCCGUCCGCGGGUGGGGCGCCCGCCGGAGGAUAACCAAACUCUGAUUUAACGACGUUUCUUCUGAGUGACACAAGCAAAUAAUCAAAACUUUUAACAACGGAUCUCUUGGUUCUGGCAUCGAUGAAGAACGCAGCGAAAUGCGAUAAGUAAUGUGAAAGCAUAUCAAUUUCAGUGAAUCAUCGAAUCUUUGAACGCACAUUGCGCCCGCCAGCAUUCUGGCGGGCAUGCCUGUUCGAGCGUCAUUUCAACCCUCAAGCUCUGCUUGGUGUUGGGGCUCUACGGUUGACGUAGGCCCUUAAAGGUAGUGGCGGACCCUCUCGGAGCCUCCUUUGCGUAGUAACAUUUCGUCUCGCAUUGGGAUUCGGAGGGACUCUAGCCGUAAAACCCCCAAUUUUACUAAGGUUGACCUCGGAUCAGGUAGGAAUACCCGCUGAACUUAAGCAUAUCAAU
rnacentral:rRNA from 1 species